GAUGAACGCUGGCGGCGUGCCUAAUACAUGCAAGUCGAGCGAACAGACGAGGAGCUUGCUCCUCUGACGUUAGCGGCGGACGGGUGAGUAACACGUGGAUAGCCUACCUAUAAGACUGGGAUAACUUCGGGAACCCGGAGCUAAUACCGGAUAAUAUAUUGAACCGCAUGGUUCAAUAGUGAAAGACGGUUUUGCUGUCACUUAUAGAUGGAUCCGCGCCGCAUUAGCUAGUUGGUAAGGUAAUGGCUUACCAAGGCAACGAUGCGGAGCCGACGUGAGAGGGUGAGCGGCCACAGUGGCACUGGGACUGGGUCCCGACUCAUACGGGAGGCAGAAGUAGGGGUUCUUCAGCAAGGGGAGAAAGCCUGACGGAGCAGCGCCGCGGGAGUGAUGAAGGUCUUGGGAUCGGGAAACUCUGUUACUAGGGAAGAAGAAGUGUGUAAGUAACUAGGAGGGUCGUGACGGUACCUAAAGAGAAAGCCACGGCUAACUACGUG
rnacentral:rRNA from 1 species